AACGAACGCUGGCGGCAUGCCUAACACAUGCAAGUCGAGCGGUAACAGGUCUAGUUUACUAGAUGCUGACGAGCGGCGGACGGCUGAGUAACGCGUGGGAACAUGCCCCAAAGUGAGGAAUAACUGCCCGAAAGGGUAGCUAAUACCGCAUAUGAUCUUCGGAUUAAAGGAUUUAUCCGCUUUGGGAGUGGCCUGCGUAUGAUUAGGUAGUUGGUGAGGUAAUGGCUCACCAAGCCGACGAUCAUUAGCUGGUCUGAGAGGAUGACCAGCCAGACUGGAACUGAGACACGGUCCAGACUCCUACGGGAGGCAGCAGUGAGGAAUCUUCCACAAUGGGCGAAAGCCUGAUGGAGCAACGCCGCGUGAAGGAUGAAGGCCCUCGGGUUGUAAACUUCUUUUAUAAGUGAAGAAUAUGACGGUAACUUAUGAAUAAGCACCGGCUAACUACGUGCCAGCAGCCGCAGUA
rnacentral:rRNA from 1 species